ACAUGCACAGUUGUUUUCACAUGUACUCGUCGAAUCUCGAGGUAAGCAGAUCUAAUCUGCAGCUUCUUCCACAAUAUUCAAGUGCCACAAUAGGUGCUAAAAUACUGAGUCUUUGUAGACUGUGCUGUAUAGUCUAAAAGCAUCUUUUCUGCAAGUCUCCAACCCACUAUUCAUGCGUUCCAAACUAAUUCUGCAAUAGUACGAUUACUACCGGUUCUUGUUAUUAGUCCAUUCCUGGCUGCCUGCUGCAUGGUCUCCACUGCAUUCACUAAGACAACCGGCGUGCUGGUGGCUGCCUUAGCAAAGCCAUCAAACACCACGGCGUGCAGCGGAGGACGGGCCGCCCGUUGGUUGGCCCAGGCCCCAGGGAGACCUUGACUCGCGAGGCCACCGAGUCAAGUCGUCUGCCCCCACUCGCAGGAGAUGCUAGCGAGUAGUUUAAUUUUUUUUUCUUAUAUAUACAGGCAUGGGUAGAAGGAGCGCAUUAUCCACCGCACCAGGACAUUGCAAGCUCGCUGUGACAGCCAACUAAUCCUUUCGAUCUGCAUAUUCUAUAUUUGCAUCUUUUCGAUCUGCAAGUCCCCAUCCCACCAUUCAUCUGAUGCAAAGGGAGAGGAGCCUUUUGCAGCAAGCUGGUGGUGGCAUCCUUUCGCCCUGCUCCAGUUUGUGUCCAGUUUUCAUUUACUCCGCUGUUUGUGUCCUUGCGCCCUGCUCUGCUGAAGAAGCUUGAUGCUGGACAGUGUGCCCAUUUCUCAUGGACCAUUGAUUCAAGAGAUCCAAUUGGGAGCAAAAUAAUAUACCUUGAAACAUACAGAGCUCCAUACGAAGCACUCUAAUCAGUGCCUUAUCAGUUGACCCUUAUUCAGUAGUUGCCAUAGGAUCUGCUGGUUCUCGAUUCUCCUAGCAAUAAAGUGAUAGUCCUCAGUCAUCUAUUCUAUACAUUGGUCUCACCAGGCACCUGUGUUUUAAAUUGCAUCCCCUCUUUCAUGAAGGCCUUAAAAGUACUCAUGGGUAAUGAUCGGAUGAACAAACUGCUUGUUUAAGAAGAUUACUAUUGGUGGUUAUGAGACUCUUAGGCUCCUUGGAAGAUGGUUCGAGUUGUGCUUCAGAUUUGCAUGUCCUUGUAAGCAGAAGCUUGAUGCUAUGUGCACCAAUUUCUAUGGACUUCUUAAUCUCUCAAGUUUAUCUAAAAAGCUCUCAUUAAAGAGAAAAGUGCAGGGAGAAAAAAGAAUUGCACUGACACAUACUGAUCUCCUUCUGUAGUGUUCUGAUCAGUGGGUUACCAAUGCACCUAUAAUCAGGUUUAAUGAGCUCUGUUAUUUGUGGUUAUCCGUCGUUUAUUGGCUUAUAACUUCUGCUAUCCACAUUAUAAAGUGGUGUUUAAAAUCAGUUACUUUCAUCUGCCUAGCUUGGGCGCAGUCUGCUGGAUGUUUGAAGUCUUGAUGGGUUAUCAUCUGAUAAUUCUCUUUAUACAAAUAAAUAAUUAACAUUGAAUCUGGGCAUAAGUCAUUCUCUUAUUAACAGGUAAG